AGGAGAAGAUGAGGAAAGAGAACAUCUACAUCAAAGGAGACGUCACUGGAUGAAAGAGGCUCCGCGCCGGACAAACUCCGGACUUGCUGAGACCGUCUAUAAAUACUUGAAUUUCCCACCACUGGAACUCCACUCUCCAAUCAAAUGCGGGCAGAAUUCAGGUGCCUCAGCAACAGGAAGCCUAAACUCUAUGUUCACUGAAUCAAUUACUAUACCUAAGAACUCUUGACAUGGCCACACAGUUUUUUCUUGAGCCAAUGGGACACCAAAAUACUGACAAAUCUGGAAAAAAACACUCUAAUAAACGAGAACAAUCAACAAAAGAACCAAAA